UCAUCUCUCCUUCCCCCCCCCCCCCCCAUUUCUCACGCCACUCUCCCCUCUCUCUUCUCUCUCACUUCUUUCUCUCACUAUCACCAUUGAAGGAUAAUUUCCAAGCUUCUCAAAUCAUAUCUACACCAUAGAUAUCCAUUAAAUCAAGCUUUAAACAUCUUUGAUCAUUGAAUUAAGAGCAACUUUGGAGGGAUUCUAAAGCUUGAAGUCAAGAGGAGGAUUUUAUUUUUCUACUCAAGAAUCAUUGAAUACGAGCAGAGGACGGAAGUGAGUCCACCCCGAGUGGUACGAGAGUAAGCUAAAGCCAUCAGGUGGGCAUUAUUUUUACUAUACGUAUAUAGAGAUCCCCUGCGUAUCGUAGGCCUCUUAUACGAAAUGAAAUAAAUGAUGUGAUUUAACUGUCAAUUUCAGUUUGAUGAAAAUUAUUACUGUUGAUGAUGUUUAUGAGUUUGAUAAAUAUUUUGAGAUUUAUUGAUGUUGAACUAAUUGACUUGCCAAGUUUUGAUGACGACGAGCCUGUAUGUCACCCUCUACUGAUGAGACGAAUUCGGGUCCUGCCACAAGCGGGAUUGUGUACACAAAGGUGACCGUGAGUUGUCCUUCGGGUCGGCCGGUCACGGUACUUGAGAAGGAGGCCUACUUCUCAGAUAAGCGAGGAGGGAGAUUGGACUGGUGCUGGCAGGGAUUUUAUUUCGGAUGAUCGUCAUUAUACCGUAAUUAUAUUCCUUGCGGUAACAUCAAGAUGUUAAGGUUUAUUUUGAACUUAAUCAAGAAAUUUACUCCCGGCUAUAUGUCUUCAUACAUAUAGUCUGUUCGCAUUUUGCUGCGAUACUCUGUAUAUCCCGAGUCAUUGUGAGUAAUUAGCUAUGUCUACUUUGUAAAGGUUGACAAGAAUCUCGAUGAUUUAAAAGUUAUAAAGCCAAUAAUAUUUUUAUU